UACGGAGGGAGCUAGCGUUGUUCGGAAUUAUUGGGCGUAAAGAGCUCGUAGGCGGUUUGUCGCGCCGAAUGUGAAAACCCGGGGCUCAACCCCGGGCCUGCAUUCGAUACGGGCAGACUAGAGUUCGGUAGGGGAGUCUGGAAUUCCUGGUGUAGCGGUGAAAUGCGCAGAUAUCAGGAGGAACACCGGUGGCGAAGGCGGGACUCUGGGCCGAUACUGACGCUGAGGAGCGAAAGCGUGGGGAGCAAACAGG
rnacentral:rRNA from 1 species